rnacentral:ncRNA from 11 species
GGGUCGUUAGCUCAGUUGGUAGAGCAGUUGACUUUUAAUCAAUUGGUCGCAGGUUCGAAUCCUGCACGACCCA